AGUGAACGCUAGCGGUAGGCCUAACACAUGCAAGUCGAACGGCAGCACAGGAGAGCUUGCUCUCUGGGUGGCGAGUGGCGGACGGGUGAGGAAUACAUCGGAAUCUACUCUGUCGUGGGGGAUAACGUAGGGAAACUUACGCUAAUACCGCAUACGACCUACGGGUGAAAGCAGGGGAUCUUCGGACCUUGCGCGAUUGAAUGAGCCGAUGUCGGAUUAGCUAGUUGGCGGGGUAAAGGCCCACCAAGGCGACGAUCCGUAGCUGGUCUGAGAGGAUGAUCAGCCAGCCUGGCACUGAGUCACGGUCCAGACUCCUACGGGAGGCAGAAGUGGGGAAUAUUGGACAAUGGGCGCAAGCCUGAUCCAGCCAUACCGCGUGAGUGAAGAGGGCCUUCGGGUUGUAAAGCCCUUUUGUUGGGAAAGAAAUCCAGCUGGCUAAUACCCGGUUGGGAUGACGGUACCCAAAGAAUAAGCACCGGCUAACUUCGUGCCAGCAGCCGCCGUAA
rnacentral:rRNA from 1 species